rnacentral:rRNA from 1 species
GAUGAACGCUAGCUACAGGCUUAACACAUGCAAGUCGAGGGGCAGCAUGAAGUUUGCUUGCAAACUUUGAUGGCGACCGGCGCACGGGUGAGUAACGCGUAUCCAACCUUCCCUAUAGUAGAGGAUAGCCCGGCGAAAGUCGGAUUAAUACUCUAUGUUGUAUUUAGAGGACAUCUGAAGAAUACCAAAGGUUUACCGCUAUAGGAUGGGGAUGCGUCUGAUUAGGUAGUCGGCGGGGUAACGGCCCACCGAGCCUUCGAUCAGUAGGGGUUCUGAGAGGAAGGUCCCCCACAUUGGAACUGAGACACGGUCCAAACUCC